AAAACAUAUUUGGCGAGUCGAAUACGAAUUCGUUCCGUGGUUCAAUUAGCUCGUGGGUUUUAAUAGAGUUUACAUAAAAGUUGAAGCGCAGCAAAGAUUCGCAGAAUAGUUGCAGGCAACAGUGUGUCCAAUGCGGGAGCGGUAUGAUAAAAGCAGCGCGUAACACAAAAUCUCUGAUAAUAAAAUUACAUAUUUAAUUUUCGUAUUGCUUGAAGUUGUUUAAAUAAAAAAAAGAAACGCGCUGACUCGUUUUCUGUCAAGAUUUCAGAUAGGCCAAUAUAAUAGUCUGUUGCAUACAUGUUAAAGCGUAUGCCCUGACUAGGAGCUAAAGUUGACGUCGAAAUCAGGUACAGUGUAUUAACGCUUUUUAUAGCCAAGGUGGCUGCGAGAAGUGGCCAUAACCCGAGUUGUAUGUCUGCACCGGAAUAUCUGCUAGUCCAGCUAUAAAAUGAAGUGCUUGCUAUAAGGCCAUUUAAGAGAUAUUUAAGCUUUCGGGCAAAUAUGGUUGAUGUCUGUUCCAUCAGAAUUGUAAAGGACUGCAUUUGCACAAUGCGUUUUCAUCCGGAUUGUUUUUCAUUUGUCAUUUCUAAUUUUGCUAUAAACAAGUUUCAGUUAUUUUUACAGCCCGAUAAAGAGGAAUUCAGGAGAACUGCAAAGAAAAGCGUGGAAAGCCCCAGGCUUAACACAAACUUCUUGGCCAACGCCGGCUUAAAACCUCGAAUGAGAAAAAACCCUUGUGAAAUCCUGUCAGAGCUUUUCCUGGAAAUAAAUGCACUUUCGCCCAUUUA